GAACGAACGCUGGCGGCACGCCUAACACAUGCAAGUCGAACGCGAACGCACCUUCGGGUGUUAUUAGAGUGGCGGACGGGUGAGUAACACGUGGGAAUAUGCCUUUCGGUACAGAACAACGCUUGGAAACGAGUGCUAAUACUGUAUACGCCCUCCGGGGGAAAGAUUUAUCGCCGAAAGAUUGGCCCGCGCUAGAUUAGCUAGUUGGUAAGGUAAAAGCUUACCAAGGCGACGAUCUAUAGCUGGUUUGAGAGGAUGAUCAGCCACACUGGGACUGUGACACGGCCCAGACUCCUACGGGAGGCAGCAGUGGGGAAUAUUGGACAAUGGGGGCAACCCUGAUCCAGCGAUGCCGCGUGAGUGAUGAAGGCCUUAGGGUUGUAAAACUCUUUCGGGGGUGAAGAUAAUGACGGUAACCCCAGAAGAAGCUCCGGCUAACUCCGUGCCAGCAGCCGCGGUAAUACGGAGGGGGUUAGCGUUGUUCGGAAUUACUGGGCGUAAAGCGCACGUAGGCGGACUGGAAAGUUGGGGGUGAAAUCCCAGGGCUCAACCCUGGAACUGCCUCCAAAACUAUCAGUCUAGAGUUCGAGAGAGGUGAGUGGAAUUCCGAGUGUAGAGGUGAAAUUCGUAGAUAUUCGGAGGAACACCAGUGGCGAAGGCGGCUCACUGGCUCGAUACUGACGCUGAGGUGCGAAAAGUGUGGGGAAGCAAACAAGGAUUAGAUACCCCUGGUUAGUCCACACCGUAAAACGAUGAAAUGCCAGUCGUCGGGUAGCAUGCUAUUCGGUGACCCACCUAACGGAUUAAGCAUUCCGCCUGGGGAGUACGGUCGCAAGAUUAAAACUCAAAGGAAUUGACGGGGGCCCGCACAAGCGGUGGAGCAUGUGGUUUAAUUCGAAGCAACGCGCAGAACCUUACCAACCCUUGACAUCCUAGGACCGGCCCAGAGAUGGGUCUUUCACUUCGGUGACCUAGUGACAGGUGCUGCAUGGCUAUCGUCAGCUCGUGUCGUGAGAUGUUCGGUUAAGUCCGGCAACGAGCGCAACCCACAUCCUUAGUUGCCAGCAGUUCGGCUGGGCACUCUAGGGAAACUGCCCGUGAUAAGCGGGAGGAAGGUGUGGAUGACGUCAAGUCCUCAUGGCCCUUAUGGGCUGGGCUACACACGUGCUACAAUGGCAGUGACAAUGGGUUAAUCCCAAAAAACUGUCUCAGUUCGGAUUGGGGUCUGCAACUCGACCCCAUGAAGUCGGAAUCGCUAGUAAUCGCGUAACAGCAUGACGCGGUGAAUACGUUCCCGGGCCUUGCACACACCG
rnacentral:rRNA from 1 species